rnacentral:misc_RNA from 1 species
UCUCCGUUGGUUAACCAGCGGAGGGAUCAUUAUAGAGUUUUCUAAACUCCCAACCCUUUGUGAACUUACCUUUGUUGCCUCGGCGGGCCUCUGGGAUUCGUCCCAUGUCAGCCGGCGGCCCCUAUAAACUCUGUUACUUAUAAGCAAUCUGAGCGUUUUCCAAAAAUAAAGUUAAAACUUUCAACAACGGAUCUCUUGGUUCUGGCAUCGAUGAAGAACGCAGC